rnacentral:rRNA from 1 species
UACGUAGGGACCAAGCGUUGUUCGGAUUUAUUGGGCGUAAAGGGCGCGUAGGCGGCGUGACAAGUCACUUGUGAAAUCUCUGAGCUUAACUCAGAACGGCCAAGUGAAACUGUCGUGCUAGAGUGCAGAAGGGGCAAUCGGAAUUCUUGGUGUAGCGGUGAAAUGCGUAGAUAUCAAGAGGAACACCUGAGGUGAAGACGGGUUGCUGGGCUGACACUGACGCUGAUGCGCGAAAGCCAGGGGAGCAAACGGG